rnacentral:rRNA from 1 species
UACAGAGGUCUCAAGCGUUGUUCGGAUUCAUUGGGCGUAAAGGGCGCGUAGGCGGCCUGAUAAGUAGGGGGGUGAAAUCCUGCGGCUUAACCGCAGGGCUGCCUUCUAAACUGUCAGGCUAGAGCACAGUAGAGGCAGGUGGAAUUCCCGGUGUAGCGGUGGAAUGCGUAGAGAUCGGGAAGAACAUCAGUGGCGAAAGCGGCGCGCUGGACCACUACUGACGCUGAGGAACGAAAGCUAGGGGAGCAAACAGG